AAGCGCGAAGUCUCGCGAGAGUAAGCUCCUGGGAGGCACGGAAGCACAGAAGAGAAAGGAAAACAAUACACCUGUCACUCACUAUUAAAAUGAAAAUUCAAGUGAAAAAUGUCGGAGGAUUUCGAUAUAAGGCAAGAGGAGACUGAGAUUUUUGUGCGCUUCUCCCCGGAGCUUACAUUGCGUAUUUCGCGGCGCCUACGUCAUACUCUCAACCGCCUUGUCGGGACCGCGCCUGGUCGAGACAGGAAGCUGGACUAAACGGUUUAUAAAGUUUUAAGAAUGGACAUUUUUCUUAAACUAACGCAUCGUUUCGCUUCAGAAGUCCUUUAUUAACACCCCGGAGCCGUGUGGAGUAGUUUUGCGAUGGAUGGGUACUUUUUUUCGGAUUCAGAAACAGGGGCACCAUUCACUGCAAUUAUACAGAUUGGAGCAGACAGGACAAUGUUGAAUAUAACUCCGAAUGUGUUCAUCUGAAAGAGGAAUAUCAGACACGCCUAGGAUGACCUGAGGGUGAGUACAUAUUUGGCUAAUUUUCAUUUUUGGGUGAACUAUCCCUUUAACAAACUCCUUUUGGAUCUGUGAGACCACGCCAGUGUUGAUGUGGACCAACAAAUUCUCACACAGCUCUCUGUAAUGACACCCCGAGUCCUUCAAGUUUUGUGAAGUUCAGGUCCAUUAUUGAUGACUGUGAACAUGGCAGACUGAAAAAAGGCCUACAGUUGGAAGCAGAUAUUCUGCUCUUGCCUGCUCUGUUCAAGGAGGACCCGGGGUUGCUGUUUGAAGUUGAGAUCCAUUCUCAGAUCAGCCCAUCCCAACACCUAUGAAGCUUAAAGGCUGUAGGGAGGGUCAUCUCGUGCAGUAUGACCACAUUGUGCUCACGUUGGAUGGACCGUUAUUCACAGAGGAGAGCGAGGACAUCUCGACGGCACUGGGACUCCUCCUGUGUGUAUAUUUUGUGUUUGGAAUCCAGUAUCCUAAAGCAGCGGUUCUCAAUUCCAGUCCUGCCGACCUGCCCCCACAUGUUGUACGUCUCGCUUAUUUAACACACCUGAUUCAGAUCAUGAGCUUGUUAGAAAAGAGCUCCAUGAAUGAACUGUGCUCUGACUAACAUGGUCCCUACACAGUGUCCCUACACGGAACAUUUCAGAUUUACACUACUUCCUGUCACUGUAAGUCAAUAUUCUCUAUUUCUGAGCCUCUUCCAGGUCUAGUUGUAGUUUAUAUUUUUUAAAUCCUGAAGGACUUACAAAAAUGUUAAUACACUGUUGACAGUGAAAGAGUGAAAGAUACUGCAGUACUUAGUUUGCAAGUGGUUGUGUAUUUUCAGUAAUUUCACUCACUCACCAUUAAGGUUUAAAAGAUGAGAUUUUCCAAAUAAAUUAAAGAACUAAUGUAGGCCCAAGACGAAAAAGGUGAAAAAGUUACCUGAUUAUAGGGCUACAGUAUGUAUAUGUGUGUGUGUGUGUGUGUGUGUGUGUGUGUGUGUGUGUAAACCAGGACUCUCUUCUUCAAAAAUUUACAUAUUUCAAGCUUGUUGCACUAUUUUGUAUAUGUAUAAAACAACAACUCCCCGUAUAUUGUGAUGUUGUAUAUGUAUAUUCCCUGGCUUGUCAGCACUCAUUUUAUUUGCUGCUGAAAUAAAUAAAUUAAAAGGUUUUGAAAGUGGGAUGUAGUUUGUUUCUCAGUAAGCAUUUAGUACAGGAAUUUGAAUCUUUAAAGCUGCAAUUUGGUAAGAAAUGAUUAGUUAUCAUUCAUCUUAAGUAAAAGUGUAAUUUAGAAGCAUAUUGGCUCAUCUACGGUAGUAAUAUAUGGCACCUCUAAUGGUUCUGUGUAACACAAUUUGACAAAUGUGCUAUAAAGCUUCUUAUCUUUAAGAAUAUGUGCCAUAUAAUACCAAAAGAGGUUUCCCUAUGAUAAGCCACUGCAAUAAAGUGCUACAGUAUAUGGCACCUCUUAUGGUUCUAUAUAGCACCUUUAAAGAUCGGUGCUAAAUAGCACUAAAAGUGGUUCCCCUGUGAUUAUGAGCCAAAGAACCACUUUUAGUGCUAUUUAGCACCUUUUUUUUUUAGAGUGUAUGAACAGAGCUAGACAUUAUAAAUACCAGUAAACAGUUUUGAUUGAACUUAUUAACUAAACUGAUUGAACUAAUUAUUAUUAUUGUGUAAUUAUUUGUGUAUGGAUAUAUAGGCUGCCAUUAUGGGGCUACAUAAGCCAUAUUCCCUGCAAAUGAACCCUUAGAUCUUUAGAUUUGUUCAGACAGUUAGUAAAAUCACUGAAAUUCUGCUGCCCCAAAGGUCCAAAGUUGUAAUAUUACAACAUUUCACUAAAAAUGUACUAAACUAUCAAAAAUGUUAAAGCUAAUUUAUUUCUGCAUUAGAGGCCUCCCACAACAACAUAUAAAUGGUGAAAUAAUUUUUUCACAGGUUUUUUUUUUUUCUAAAUUUGGGUCUUUCAGGGUUAACAACACUCGCUGCGUGGAUCAUAGUUCAUAUCCGGACCGGAGCAAAUGUGUUUCCAGUUUUUGUGAG